ACAACGUGUCAUCAAAUUCCACGAUGCUGCUGAUGCAAACAGACUGUGAUGUACAGGAAGGAGAAGGAACACAAGGCAGCUAUCCCAUCAGUCAAUUAACAAAUUGGGUAUGUCCAAGACACACUACCAUGCUAGCAGCUUGAAGAAAGAUCCUGAAACAACCAAAUGGCUUCUUUUUAAGCACAGAUAUCAUUGUAAUGACAGCUUCUGAGCUGUGAGAAAGGGAGAAAAAUAAGCUAUGGAGAAUAAAAUGAGGAGAAAUGAAUCUGUGGAUCAAGCAAACUGAAUUGAAAGGGGAAAAGUCAGCCAUUACAAAGCCAGUUUUGUGAUUGGAUGGAUGCCUGACACCAGCCCGAUGGUUAUGACAGUGAACAUUAUGAUGUUGCAAAAAUUGUGCUCCCACCACUAGUCCAACGUGUAUCGACAAAGUUCAGUGCAGUAAGUACAAAUCUUGGGUUCUUUUAGAAAUAGUUAUAUCGCUCCAUAUUUAUCUUAUACCUGGUCCUCCUCACUUGUGUCUACCUUUUAAAAUUCUACCCUUCCUUUUCAGCCCGGUCAAAUAUAAUUUCCUUUUUUUAUGGAGACUUUCCUGAUGUCUUCAAGUCAGGAACUGAUUUUUGAUCCUUCCUCUCUCAGACCAUACAGAGCAUGUGGCUUACGAUGACAGUUUAUGCUUCAUAAAUGCUUAGAAAUUCUUUUCAUCUCCAAUUUUUUUGCUAACCUAGCAUGGUAUGGUGGAUAGAAUGAAGAAAAUCUAAAUUAAAACCUCUCCUCUGAUACUUACUGCUCUUUGACCUUCCACAAGACACAUAAUGUCCAGCCCUUAGUUUCCUAAUCGAUAAAAUGAGAUUAGAUGACCCGUGAGGUCCCUUUCAACGUUCGACCAAUGAUGUGUGUCUGAAUUAGUCAUCUCUACAUAUGUUUUAUCCUCUCCUAGACUCUAAUCUGUUUAAGGGUAGGAGUUGCCUCUUUCUAACUCCACUUGGUGAUUACGCAGGGUAUGCUACAUAAUGGAUAUUUAAGAAACAUUUCUGUAGGUUUGUAUCCACUUGAGAUAGUCAAAGAACAGAAAUUCUGUUAUUAACAAAACUAGGAAUGCGCACGCUCUAUAUAAAGGGAUAAUUUUUUAACAGAUUGAUAGAGAGUUGGUCUGAGACUCCAACUACUAACAAAUACUGGAAAAGUCCACCCUGGAAAAGUCAUUAAGCAUCUCAGUACUCCCAGGAAACUCUAAGAUGAUUCCAAUUUAUGUGCCAACAUCUAUUACAAAGAGUUAUGUAGAAAACUUUUAUGAGGAACUUGGUAAGAUUCUGCAAACCAAAUGAGCAUAUACCUUGAUAUUUUGGGACUUUGAUAAAAGGGUAAGAAUAGGAGAGGACAGUGAAAAAUAUGUUAGAAAAUCUGUGUGUGUGGGUGCGCAGACUUGUGCUUUCUUUGGUAGAGUGAACAAUGCAACUGGCACCCAUCUAUGACUUAGAGUCUUAGAAAGUUUCCAGGGGACACUGAGAGAUUAAAAGACUUUCUGAUGGUCAGACAGUUUGUGUCAGGACUUGAACUCAGGCAUUCCAAGGAUUCACCCAUCAUGAGGUAAAUGAUCUCAUUAGGCAUCAGGGCAUUUUUUUAUACUCAUUAACAUUCCAUGAAAUUUUGCCAGUGCUGGGGGCUUUAUCUGAAUCUUUUAAGGAGAGGGUGCAGAAUUUGGGCUGCCCAUCUGUUAUCAACUAUUCUUAUUACUUUAUCAACACAUUUAGUAAUGAAAAUGGUCAAAGAUGUUUGUGUUACACAGGGCCCUCAAAUCUAUAUGCUGUGAUUAUUUCUUAUUUAUUUAGUUUUCAAUUAAUUUUUUUUUAAUUCAUUAGGUGCAAAAUUCAAAUAGUUUCUACCAGGAGGGAAUAAAAGGAAUGGAAGUCCCCGACCCUCUACCCUCGUUAUGUCUCUAUAAUAGAAUGUUUUGCAGCUGAAGGUCCUUGUCUAAUUCUUUGAUAUUGCCAUCAUGUUGACUCUUUGUGACCCCAUUUGGGGUUUUCUUAGCAAAGAUAAUGAAAUCGUUUGCAAUUUCUUUCUUCAGCCCAGUUUAGAGAUGAGGAAAUUGGAGUAAACAAGUUACACAGCUAUUAGAAUCUGAGGCCAAAUUUGAACUCAGGUUUUACUGACUCCAGGGCUGGCUCUCUAUCCACUGUGCCUCCUAGCUGUUCAGUGGAACUACCACAGUGGAUCUUUUAAAGCCUCAUUGAAAUACAAGAAUGCGGAAAUGGAACUCUGGAGUGUGAGGUUGCAAAUAGUCACUGACCUACCAUGUACUUGGGUGUAAAGUUUCUUAACUCAUAAGUCAUCUAGUCCAAACUUCUAUUUUUAUUGAUGAUGAUGAUUGAGCCCAAAGAUAUUAAGUGACACAGAUAUACAAAGAUGACAAAAAUAUUAAUAAAUUAAUAAAAAUUAGUAUACACUCGGUGGUAGGCUGGUUGUAAAAAUCAGCUGUCAAAAAAGUAUACUUUAAAACUUAAUCUUCUUUAACACUUUCUUAAGUAUAGAUAAUCAAUAAAAUAAUAACAAAAUAACUCGAGCCUUGAUUUAUUAAU